GGGUGGCUUGUGUAAGUUCCUAGUUUCUGUUGUAUUCUGCCAUAACCAUUUCCACUCCUGGCAACCAACGAAUCUGUUCUCCUCUCUAUACUUUUGCCAUUUUGAGACUAUCACGUAAGUGGAAUCAUAACAUGUAAGACUGGCUUGUCUCGCUCUGCCUGAUUCCCUUGAGAUCCACCCACUAGUCCAUGGAACGACAGAAAACAAACAAACAAAAAACGAGUUGCAAAAGCCAUCUUGGAGAACAGAACUGGAGGCAUCACACUUCCUGAUUUCAAAAUCUGUUACAAGGUGCUGGGAGCCACAAAGUGGCUAAGAAGAAUAAUCCUGCGUGAGGCCUGACUGUGAGCAAAGCUACAGCAGAGGCUGAAGAAACUGAAGCUGCAAAGCAGUUUCGAAGAGUCCCCCAGCUGAUUCUGUUUAGUAAAAAUUCCUGAAAUACGAUUUUCUCUCCUAUUCUUGCGCUUCUUUCCUGAUGUUUAUGUGUGUUGUGAGUCAUUCUUGGCUCAUACAAAUAUGGGAACCUUCUCAAAUUCCUGAGCUUCCACCCAAGCAUGGGCCAUUACCUACUUAUAAACCUAAGCCCUUGUCUAAUAGGUUGAAAACAAUUGAACCAUGCAUGAAGAACUUUCCUAAGAAUGGGAGGUUUCCCUUCAGAGGACUAAUAGUAAAUAUUACGCAGAACUGCCACGUAAGCCUGGAGAUCUUCGUUGGACUUUGGUCCGUCCCCAUGGAGACAGAUUAGGGGGUGGUUUGGGUGUUGCCCAUGGCCCCAAAAUUGUGAAUAUUAUAAGGCAAGAUAUUUUUUUCUACAAUAAACACUACCUGUUGGGACCCAGCAGGUGGAAAUUAUUAUUAUAACUGGCAAGAUUCUUUUGAUAUAUAGAUUUUAUAAUUAAUAAAGAUUUCUAUAAUAGAUAAGGUUUAUUUAAGACAGUUUAUGUUCCCACAACCUGCUAAUGGUCUGAGGUCAGCUUGACCUCGAAAGCAAGCCACGUGUGAAUACCCCACUCCCCAUCAAUGGCUGUUCAUGCCUGCUAGAGGAGCACAAUAGGUAGCUUGAGGCAAGAAUAUCUAUCACCUUAUGCCAAAUCAUUGUUAAAGCAAAAAUUAGAUACCUAUUAUUCUGCUUGCUAUUUACUUAUUUUCUAAGAAUAAAGUACAGUUUGUACGUAUUUUCUACGUAAUCUUUAUUUUAAAUCUAAAACUAAAAGAAUAGUUUGGAAUAAUAAAUUAGCAUAUAUUGUUGUUUUGUAUAAUCAUGCACAAGAGUAAAAUGUAUAAAAGCUGAUGCUCUCCUUUCAAUAAACGGGUCAUCUGCAGCACUUGCUGAGGGAGUUGGCUCCAAUUCUUUCCGCGCCUGUUUGUAGCCCCUCCUCCUGUUCGUCGUCUCCUGGCUGCUGGGGCUGGACCCCGGCAACAAGGCUGUAGUAGCCAAGCGUAAAGGCAGAUACAUAGACCAAAGGGACAUCAUCGGAGCUCAGAAAUAAACCCACACACUAACUGUUGGUAAGAGAACCGAGGAUGCUUAGUGAAGAAAAGGUCUCUGAUAAAGAGGUGCCAGAGAAGCCGGAUGUCCACAGAAAAGAAAGAAAUUGGGUCCCUUUCUUCAACCACUCACAGACAUUAACUGGAAAUGGAUUAAGGACUUAAAUGUAAGACCUGAAACAGUAAGACUACUCUAAGAACAUAGGGAAAAAGCUGUUUGACAUUUGGCAAUAAUUUUUUUGGAUGUGACACCAAAAGCAUAAGCAACAAAAGCAAAAAUCAGCAAGUGGAACUAUGUCAAACUCAAAAGCUUCUGCACAGAAGAGGAACCCAACCACAAAACAGAAAGGCCACGUGCUGAAUGGGAAAAAAUAUUUGCAAAUUUGUAUCGGAUAAGGGGUUUAUAUCCAAAAUAUAUAGAACUCAUACAACAGUAACUGAAAAAAAAAAAUCAGUCUGAUUAAAAAAUGGGCAAAUAACUUGAACAGACAUUUUUCCAAAGAACACAUUCAAAUGGCCACCACACAUGGAAGGAUGCUCAACAUCACUGGUCGUCAGGGGAAUGCAAUUCAAAUGUCACCUCAUUCUUGUUAGGAUGGCUGUUAUCAAAAAGACGAGAUUAAAAGUGUGACCGAAGGUGUGGAGAGAAGGGAACCCUUGUGCGUGGAUGGUAGGGAUGUAAACUGGUAGAGCCACUACGGAAACAGCAUGUAUGUUCCUCAAAAAAUUAAAACUGGAACUACCAGAUGACCCAGCAAUUCCACUUCUGAAUGUAUAUUCCAAGGGUGCGAGAUCACUGACCUGAGAUACUUGUACUCACACAUUCACUGCAGCAUCGUUUACAGUCGCCUUAAUCUGGAAGCAACCUAGAUGCCCAUCCGUGGAUAAAUGGAUAAAGAAGAAAGAUGUGAAAUCUUGAAGAACUCCUCUUACAUUUGAAGGAGCAAUCACCUCUUUCAGACUCUAGGGACUGACACGGCUGUGGCAGGAUGAUAACUGUUCUUUCAAUAACCAGCUCCAGUGCUGUGGUCGAGGGGACCCCGGUUAUGUUUCAAGUCAACAGCAAGGGCCACACUUGUGGCCUAUGGAAAUUUCCAGGCUAGUGGUUGCGUGGGCGCUGCUGCUGCCAACCACAGCCUCAGCCAUGUGGGAUCUGAGCCACGUCUGCGACCUAUAGCACAGCUCACAGCAAUGCCGGACCCUUAACCCAUGGAGUGGGGCUAAGGAUCGAACCCACAUCCUCAUGGAUACUAGUCAGGUAUGUAACCCACCGAGUCACAAUGGGAACUCCCAGAUUUGAAGUAUUUAGUUGCAGUCUGCUCUCUACUGAACCUUGUGUUGGUGGUGUUCAGGGCAGUGAUGAGAUUGGGGCGGGUGUCCCACCCAAAGUGAUGCUAUGCUUCUAAAUGUUGCAGGGACCACCCAACAGGAGGCUCCCCAAAUGCAAUGCCGUGAGGGCGUUGGUAAGGGUGGAGCCCGGUGUGACCAGGAGAAAAGCAAGCAUUUCUGGGGAGAGGCGCUGGGUCUUGCUUCCUCGCUCAAGAGAAAGGGCUAGUCUCCUUCAUUCCCUUUAAUUCAAAGGCAGGGUGACCUUGGCUGAGGUGUCGGCGUUCCAGUGAUACGCCUUGACCCAUUCUGUUUACUGUAGUUCAGUUCACGUAAGAACCCAGUCAUCUUUGUGGGUCAGAGUCCUGGGAGGGUGCAGGAGCUGUGAGCACAGGGCAGGGAGGGUUGUAAAGUGGGGGCUGGAGGCCAAGACUGCGUCUCCACUAGAAUCUCCACCCCAGACAGGCCUUGGAAGUGAGUUCCUGGGUGUCUCGCCUGCCAGCCUGCAAUCUGGAGUCUCUGCGUCUUUCUUGGGUCCCUCCCUUGGAGGCCGGAUUCACGUGUCACCUGGGGAAGGAAGAGCCCAAGACACACUUUACCGUCCUUUGGAAAUUCUGCUUAUCAAACUAUGGGAUGUUUAAAAUCUUAUCAGCCUCAUUUAGGGGUUUUCUUAUACUGAGGAAAGGUGGUUUGUGGUAAAAGCUAGGCUCUGCUGCGGUCAUUUCAGAAACAGAAUCUUUUUUCCCCUGAGUGGUGUAUGAUGGUCAGCCCCUGAAGAAAUGCCUUCCGGGAUAAUUUUUUGAUGCUUUUUUUUCUCCCUUGAUGAGAACAGAUUUACUAAGUAACAAUUUCAUUUUAAAGUGGAGAAGCAGAUCUCUUUGGGAGGCAGUUGUUAUAGAAAAACUCUGCCACAAAGUGGGAACAUAAAAUAGCCUCCAUUUUUAUAAAUUCAUUAGUGAGGUUUAGACGCCUCAGAAAAGGCAUACAUGGGAUUAAGGGAAUCCAGAUUCUAGGAACUACAUGGCUUUUGAACCCUUUGGAAAUGAUAAGAAAACUCUUGGUUUUUCCAAUUAUUUUGAGAAAUAAAAUAGUUUGUUUUUUUUUCAAAAAUUUUUAUGAAUAAAAACAAGUCUUUGCAAUUAAGCUGCUAGCUAGUCAUCGUAAUAAACUAGUCCUAUAUUGUCUUUAGCUGGUGUCUGGUCCUUAGGCGUUAAGAAAAAGUGUCAUACAGCCAGUUUAGGAUGACUAUGUGGCAAAUUUUGAGUUGUUCUUUCUGUAUCAAGAAUAAAAUAAGUCUAGGGAAAAUUUCCCAGUUUUCUUGGAG